rnacentral:piRNA from 1 species
UGGCAAUUGACUUGUAAGGUUUUUACUACC